UGGACACUUGUCAUUGAUUUAGGCCCUGUCCAGGUAAUCCAGGAUGAUUUCAUCUCAAGAUCCUUAACCUAAUUACAUCUACGAAGACCUUUUUCCCAAAUAAGACAACACUCAUAGUGACAGGUUCCAGGAAGAAAU